AAGGCACGAUCACGUACUUUUUGUAGAACGGACCGGCGAGUUACGUUAUGCAGCAAGGUUAAGAACUAAAGGUUCGGAGCCGAAGCGAAAGCGAGUCUGAACAGGGCGAUAGUUGCAUGACGUAGACCCGAAACCGGGUGACCUAUCCAUGAGCAGGUUGAAGUGGAGGUAAAGCUCCAUGGAGGACCGAACCAGACGUCUGUUGAAAAAGGCGGGGAUGACUUGUGGAUAGGGGAGAAAUUCCAAUCGAACCCGGAGAUAGCUGGUUCUCCUCGAAAUAGCUUUAGGGCUAGCCUCAUGGAUCAUUGAUGGGGGUAGAGCACUGAAUGUGCGCGGGGGCCACAAAGCCUACCAAACGCUAUCAAACUUCGAAUACCAUACAAUGCAGACCAUGGGAGUCAGUCCGCGAGAGAUAAGUUCCGCGGGCAAAAGGGGAACACCCCAGAUCAACCGCUAAGGUCCCCAAGUUCACGUUAAGUGGAGAAGGAUGUGGAAUUGCACAGACAACCAGGAUGUUGGCUCAGAAGCAGCCACACAUUUAAAGAGUGCGUAAUAGCUCACUGGUCGAGUGAUUGUGCGCCGAAGAUGUCCGGGGCUAAACGUGACACCGAAGCGAUGGGUGCAUCUGAAAGGAUGCGCGGUAGAGGAGCAAUGUGCAGAGGCAGAAGCCGUAUCGAGAGGCACGGUGGACACUGCACAAGAGAGAAUGCCGGUAUGAGUAGCGAGAGGCAUGCGAGAAACAUGCCCGUCGAAAGCCCAAGGUUUCCUGGGGAAGGUUCAUCCGCCCAGGGUAAGUCGGGGCCUAAGCCGAGGACGGAAGUCGUAGGCGAUGGACAGCAGGUGUAGAUUCCUGCACUACCGAUGGAAUGAAGCAGUGACACAGAAGGAUAACUCGAGCAGGGUGAUGGUCAACCCUGUGCAAGCAUCAAGGUUGGGUUGUAGUGAAGUACGCAAUCCUAUAAGCUGAGGUGUGAUGCGGACCGAAAUUUUAGUAGGGAAGCGAGUGAGUUCACGCUGGCGAGAAAAGCUGCUAGUACAUCCAAAGGUACCCGUACCGGAAACCGACGCAGGUGGGCGAGGAGAGAAUCCUGAGACGAACGGGAGAACCCUUGUUAAGGAACUCGGCAAAAUGACCCCGUAACUUCGGGAUAAGGGGUGCCUGCGAGAGCAGGCCGCAGAGAAUAGUCACAAGCGACUGUUUAGCAAAAACACAGGUAUCUGCGAAAGCGAGAGCUGACGUAUAGGUGCUGACACCUGCCCGGUGCUGGAAGGUUAAGGGAACAUGUUAGAGCAAUCGAAGCAUCGAACCGAAGCCCCAGUAAACGGCGGCCGUAACUAUAACGGUCCUAAGGUAGCGAAAUUCCUUGUCGGGUAAGUUCCGACCCGCACGAAUGGUGUAACGACUUGUGAGCUGUCUCAACAGGGGGCCCGGUGAAAUUGAAGUAUGGGUGAAGAUGCCCAUUACCCGCGACUGGACGGAGAGACCCCGUAGAGCUUUACUGCAGCCUGAUAUUGAGUUUCGGUAACUGAUGCACAGGAUAGGUGGGAGUCUGAGAGACACGGGUUUCGGCUCGUGUGGAGACGAUGUUGGGAUACCACUCUUCGGUUACUGAAAUUCUAACAUAGCUCUGUGAAACCAGAGGAUGGACAGUGUCAGGUGGACAGUUUGACUGGGGCGGUCGCCUCCGAAAGAGUAACGGAGGCGCCCAAAGGUACCCUCAGAAUGGAUGGAAACCAUUCGAAGAGCGCAAAGGCAGAAGGGUGCCUGACUGCGAGAUUGACAAAUCGAGCAGAGACGAAAGUCGGGCUUAGUGAUCCGGCGGUAUUGAGUGGAAAAGCCGUCGCUUAACGGAUAAAAGCUACCUCGGGGAUAACAGGCUGAUCUCCCCCAAGAGUCCACAUCGACGGGGAGGUUUGGCAC
rnacentral:rRNA from 1 species